rnacentral:rRNA from 1 species
GACGAACGCUGGCGGCGUGCUUAACACAUGCAAGUCGAACGGAAAGGCCCUGCUUUUGUGGGGUGCUCGAGUGGCGAACGGGUGAGUAACACGUGAGUAACCUGCCCUUGACUUUGGGAUAACUUCAGGAAACUGGGGCUAAUACCGGCUAGGAGCUCCUGCUGCAUGGUGGGGGUGGGAAAGUUUCGGCGGUUGGGGAUGGACUCGCGGCUUAUCAGCUUGUUGGGGGGGUAGUGGCUUACCAAGGCUUUGACGGGUAGCCGGCCUGAGAGGGUGACCGGCCACAUUGGGACUGAGAUACGGCCCAGACUCCUACGGGAGGCAGCAGUGGGGAAUAUUGCACAAUGGGCGGAAGCCUGAUGCAGCAACGCCGCGUGCGGGAUGACGGCCUUCGGGUUGUAAACCGCUUUCGCCUGUGACGAAGCGUGAGUGACGGUAAUGGGUAAAGAAGCACCGGCUAACUACGUG